rnacentral:rRNA from 1 species
AGUGAGCGCUGGCGGUAGGCCUAACACAUGCAAGUCGAACGGCAGCACAGUAAGAGCUUGCUCUUACGGGUGGCGAGUGGCGGACGGGUGAGGAAUACAUCGGAAUCUACUUUUUCGUGGGGGAUAACGUAGGGAAACUUACGCUAAUACCGCAUACGACCUACGGGUGAAAGCAGGGGAUCUUCGGACCUUGCGCGAUUGAAUGAGCCGAUGUCGGAUUAGCUAGUUGGCGGGGUAAAGGCCCACCAAGGCGACGAUCCGUAGCUGGUCUGAGAGGAUGAUCAGCCACACUGGAACUGAGACACGGUCCAGACUCCUACGGGAGGCAGCAGUGGGGAAUAUUGGACAAUGGGCGCAAGCCUGACCCAGCCAUACCGCGUGGGUGAAGAAGGCCUUCGGGUUGUAAAGCCCUUUUGUUGGGAAAGAAAAGCAGCAGGUUAAUACCCCGCUGUUCUGACGGUACCCAAAGAAUAAGCACCGGCUAACUUCGUG